GGCAGUGUGGCCUAGUGGUCUGUGCGUGGACUACGACUCUGGAGACCAGGUUCGAUUCCUGCUCAGCCA